UACGGGGGAGCAAGCGUUGUUCGGAUUUACUGGGCGUAAAGGGCGCGUAGGCGGCGCAACAAGUCACUUGUGAAAUCUCCGGGCUUAACCCGGAGCGGUCAAGUGAUACUGUCGUGCUAGAGUGCGGAAGGGCUACUGGAAUUCUCGGUGUAGCGGUGAAAUGCGUAGAUAUCGAGAGGAACACCUGCGGCGAAGGCGGGUAGCUGGGCCGACACUGACGGCUGAUGCGCGAAAGCCAGGGAGCGAACGGG
rnacentral:rRNA from 1 species